UCUCUCUAACGUCCAGCGGUCUGAUGAAGGUCUCUACUGGUGUCAUACUGAUAUUCAUCCACCUUCUCCUCAGAGCAGACUGAGGGUCAGAGUAGACUCCCCCUCCCCUCGUUCUUCUGCUCCCCCCAUCACCCCUCUUCCUCCCCCUCCCUCUAUGUCAGUGCUCAGACUCGUCUUGCACCUGGUGGUCUUCUGUCCAUACGUGGCCUGCACUGCUCUGCUGCUGUCCAUCUUCGCCACCAGCUCAGGUAACACACCUGUCAUUUCCAUGGAAACGAGCCAUCCUGCUGUACAGGAUGAUGUCACCACUGAGCAUCACUUCUGACCUCUGAGCUGACAGGAAGUGAAGGAGCUGGAGCAGCUGGGACGUUCCUGUUUCUGACCCAGAGUCAAACCUGUGGUCUGUAAAGACUCCUCAGUCGGAUCUUUGAGUCAGUCAGCUUCUCAGUGAACUGGUCAGCUGUUGACUGGAUGGAUACAAACAUUAACCUUGUGCUUUUAUGUGUUUAAUGCUUCAAGUGAUCAGAAAAUGCAUUUUUUAGUAUGUGUUAUACUGUAAGGUCAGAUCAGACAACUGGUAUGAUCAAGCACUUUGUGAGAGCGGGAAUGAAAAGCUGAACUGAUCAGUGAUUGGAUCAAACAGUCUCUGAGUAAGACCUGACUCUGUUUCUGUGUUGAUUUAUGCUUUAAUAAAACAUUCGAACAUUA